AUUCAGGAAAUUGACAUUGACAUGAGACCAACCAGUGGCAGAAACAACUGGCACGGCUAAGCAUUUUCAAGAAUAAAACGAAGAGACACUGGAAAAAACCUAAACCCGGGCAGGAGGAGACCAGAGGCACUCAUGUCCAUAUGAGAUUGCCAUGGCAGAGGGACAUCUUGGAAGGCUCCUCCUGGAACAGCUGCCUGUACCCUCAUGAGAAUUCAGAACCAAGCCCAGUACCACCUCCCCAGGGAUGGCACUACCCACAUCAAUCGUUAAUU
rnacentral:lncRNA from 1 species